ACCUGGGAACUGCGUUNUGAACUGGGUGACUAGAGUGUGUCAGAGGGAGGUAGAAUUCCACGUGUAGCAGUGAAAUGCGUAGAGAUGUGGAGGAAUACCGAUGGCGAAGGCAGCCUCCUGGGAUAACACUGACGNUCAUGCCCGAAAGCGUGGGUAGCAAACAGGAUUAGAUACCCUGGUAGUCCACGCCCUAAACGAUGUCGAUUAGCUGUUGAGCAGCAUGACUGCUUAGUAGCGAAGCUAACGCGUGAAAUCGACCGCCUGGGGAGUACGGUCGCAAGAUUAAAACUCAAAGGAAUUGACGGGGACCCGCACAAGCGGUGGAUGAUGUGGAUUAAUUCGAUGCAACGCGAAGAACCUUACCUGGUCUUGACAUGUACGGAACCCUCCAGAGACGGAGGGGUGCCUUCGGGAGCCGUAACACAGGUGCUGCAUGGCUGUCGUCAGCUCGUGUCGUGAGGUGUUGGGUUAAGUCCCGCAACGAGCGCAACCCUUGUCAUUAGUUGCCAUCAUUAAGUUGGGCACUNUAAUGAGACUGCCGGUGACAAGCCGGAGGAAGGUGGGGAUGACGUCAAGUCCUCAUGGCCCUUAUGACCAGGGCUUCACACGUCAUNCAAUGGUCGGUACAGAGGGUAGCCAAGCCGCGAGGUGGAGCCAAUCUCACAAAUCCGAUNGUAGUCCGGAUUGCACUCUGCAACUCGAGUGCAUGAAGUCGGAAUCGCUAGUAAUCGCAGGUCAGCAUANUGCGGUGAAUACGUUCCCGGGUCUUGUNCACACCGCCCGUCACACCAUGGGAGUGGGGGAUACCAGAAGUAGGUAGGGUAACCGCAAGGAGCCCGCUUNCCACGGU
rnacentral:rRNA from 1 species